rnacentral:lncRNA from 1 species
GUGAGCUGUGGGGAAACAGCCCCAAAAGGUGACAGCCUUGCACAGGAGGUGAUGUUGGGAGAUGAAAUGUGUCUGCAAAUGUUUCUCUGUGAGGCAGAGAAAUGGUUGUGACUCGGGAAAGCCGCGGAUGUGUUUGUGAUCAGAGGCAGGCCGCGCAUUUCUGCCGCCCACCACACCUUCAGCCAGACAGGAACAAAGGGAAGAACACUCCUCUAACUCCCCAAAUCCUCAGCUCUGCCAGGUGGAGGCUUCUGAUGAGGAGGAAGAUUUUCUCAUUUUCAGACAAGGGCUUCUGUAUUUCCAUUUCAACCACUGUCAACACCACAUUGGAACUGGACCUGCCAUGGCCACCCAGCUGGAAGGUGUGGAGUUUCCACCCCAUCAUCUCCCCUGAGAGUGGCUGA